UACGUAGGUCCCGAGCGUUGUCCGGAUUUAUUGGGCGUAAAGCGAGCGCAGGUGGUUUAUUAAGUCUGGUGUAAAAGGCAGUGGCUCAACCAUUGUAUGCAUUGGAAACUGGUAGACUUGAGUGCAGGAGAGGAGAGUGGAAUUCCAUGUGUAGCGGUGAAAUGCGUAGAUAUAUGGAGGAACACCGGUGGCGAAAGCGGCUCUCUGGUCUGUAACUGACGCUGAGGUUCGAAAGCGUGGGGAGCAAAUAGG
rnacentral:rRNA from 1 species